CAAAUAAUGAACACCUGCUGAGGCCACACCCACACAGUUUUACACCACCCCAACCCAGGAAAGCACAAAGGAAAUGGUUGACGUGUUGGAGUCUAGCAGCUGCACCUUGUCAUCCUAAUUACGGCUGACUGCUCUUAAGACGCUGUGGAACUCCAACUGGUCGCCAGACUAUCAACGCUCUAAGUCUGCCAUCUGCCCUUGCUCCCUGCAAACCAGUGCUCACCCCUUGUGGGCCACCGACAAACCAGACUCCUAACCUGCCAGACCGGUCCUCGUUGGAACCCUGCCGAUUCUCAAGAGUUCCUUUGUUCGCUUCCAAGGUGCAAUAAUCUUUUGUUCACAAACUCACCUCCCUGUCCUCUCUGCAUGGUCCAACUUGCAACCUGAACCCUGACACAUGGAGCCAG